rnacentral:lncRNA from 1 species
UCUCCUGUGUAAGAACUUCCAACAAGAGCAGCAAAUGUGGAGGGAUUGUUCUAGCCAACUUACUGUUCAUUCCUGAGAGACCAAUGCUCCUCUGCUGUUACAUGAGAAAAGAUAUCCACUAUGACAUCAAAGUAAAGGUCACUGGUGGCAUCUGAGGUGAUCACAGUGGGCCAUAAAAUGGAAAUGUGAAAGUACAUCAUAUGUAUAUAGACCUGUGUAUGAUGGGCCCUGAUGAAUUAAAAACAGAGGAAGGAAAGAAGAGUUGUCUGCAAACACGCAGCCAAUGAGGGGAUAGCCAAAGGAGGACAUGCAACUUAACCUCUGUGAACAGAACUUUAUGGCAGGAAACAAUGAUAGGCUAAUGUAAACAGCUUAUUUUGCCUACCUUUGUACUUCAGUACGGUAGUUCAAUAUAACCACAUUUCUCCAAAGACUCAUAUUCUGUUAUUGAAAGGUAAUGGUGGGAACCAACUUAAGAACAUGUAAAAUGCAAGAUUUUUUAAUCAAUGAGAAGCUAUUAAUUUAACCAAGCCUUCCUGUAAUAAUAUUGAGACAGACUGGCUGCCU